GCAGAAUUAGCACAUCAUCACACAAAUGAUCCAUGCCGGGUCCAGUCCAGGAAGGAACCAAAUUUAAAAGGAAACUGCAUAUGCACACUUUCAGAUUUUUAAAUGGGAGCUGCUGGUAAAAGGCUCAUAGAGAAAUUCUGGCACAUACUGAGAUUGUUUUAAAAGAAUUAUGGGAAAUGACAGCUGUAGAACUGAAGUUCCAUUUUUCACAGAUGAAACUACAAAAUGCAUGGAGUAAUGUAAUCCAGUCAGACAACCAGGACACAGGCACUGUACUUUGUGGUUUGCACAUUUUAAGAAACGGAGGAUGACAACCUUCUGAAGGUGGCAAACUGCUCCGAAGCAGUGGCAGAGCUUGAAACAGCUGCAGAAAAUCCCGGGAGGCCCUUGCUUUAUGUGGGGCACUGCAAAGAAGCUGUUUUGUUAUACCAGCU